AUUUCGCUUUUGUUGGUUUUAAAGUCCAUUGGAGAUUAUGGGGCAUGUGUGACAAGCGGCUGGGUGGUUAUUCCACACACACUCCUUUUUUGGACGUGUUGUGUGGCACUCGUCGCCUUUGUGGGAAAUCCGUGUGGCACUGUUUGUGUUGUUGGCAGACUUCGGUCUUGCCUUCGCAUAUUUCACAUGUGUCAUGCCUUCCCUCAACUCACGGCAUCCAGGAAUGAAGGAGGGUAGUUCGGGGGAGAACGUACUGGUGCGUCAGAGGUGAAAUUCUUAGUCCACACUGCAAACGAUGACACCCAUGAAUUGGGGAGUUUUUGGUUGUAGGCGUGGUCGGGCUUGAUUAUUGUAUUUCAUCCCGUUCCUCGUCUCCCCAAUGAAUAUUAAAUUGACUAGCGUAUUCUUUUUGGUCCUCGUUUUUUUACGGCGAGGGCCUUUAACGGGAAUAUCCUCAGCACGUAUCUACUUAACAGUG
rnacentral:rRNA from 1 species